rnacentral:misc_RNA from 1 species
ACAAAUAAACAUCUGAAUAAAUUUUCUAGUAUAUGUGAUUGUGAUAUGUUGCUGUAUUUCAUUACAUUGGAAAACUGAAAAUUCUGAUGGUAACUUCUCAUCAGUCCUUCAUCAUUGGCUGUUGCAAAGGCUUUUGUAUUAAGUAAAUGCUAUAUCGGAUCACAUGCAGAGUUCAAAGUUGGGCAAAUCUAAUCAGAAUGCUCUUCUGGAAAAAUAUCAAUAGCAUGUGUAUUUCUUGUGUUAGUAUAGAUCUUCUUUUAGCAUUUGAAAAUCUCUGUUUGAAAGGGGUAUGGAAGCAUAGGUGCUGGAUUUCCUGCAGACUGAUUCUUGAAAUGGAAGAAUUUCGUGAUGGUGCCUAUAUCAUAGAGGAUCUUAUUCAUCUUCUCUGUAACUUAAAGAGUUUGAAUUGAUGAUCAGUAGUUUGCAUCACUUUUAACUUCACCUAAAUUUGAAAGUUUCAAGAUAGGACUCAUUUCCUUGUUCAAUGACUAAUUUUCUACAUCUUUGUGAUAAAAUUAUUAUACUAGUUUGUUUCUCUACCAUACUUGAUACCUUUUUCUUUUGAGUUUCAGGUCAUG